GCCUGCAAACAUGGGUUUAAGUCCUGUUUCUAUCA
rnacentral:tRNA from 1 species